rnacentral:rRNA from 1 species
UACGAAGGGGGGCUAGCGUUGCUCGGAAUCACUGGGCGUAAAGAGCUCGUAGGCGGCUUGUCGCGUCGACUGUGAAAUCCCGCGGCUCAACUGCGGGUCUGCAGUCGAUACGGGCAGGCUAGAGUUCGGUAGGGGAGACUGGAAUUCCUGGUGUAGCGGUGAAAUGCGCAGAUAUCAGGAAGAACACCCGUGGCUAAGGCGGCUCUCUAGUACGGUACUGACGCUGAGACGCGAAAAGCGUGGGGAGCGAACAGG